rnacentral:rRNA from 1 species
UACGGAGGGGGCUAGCGUUGUUCGGAAUUACUGGGCGUAAAGCGCGCGUAGGCGGACAUGCAAGUCGGGGGUGAAAGCCCGAGGCUCAACCUCGGAACUGCCUUCGAUACUGCGGGUCUCGAGUCCGGGAGAGGUGAGUGGAAUUCCUAGUGUAGAGGUGAAAUUCGUAGAUAUUAGGAAGAACACCAGUGGCGAAGGCGGCUCACUGGCCCGGUACUGACGCUGAGGUGCGAAAGCGUGGGGAGCAAUCAGU